GUAGUCAUAUGCUUGUCUCAAAGAUUAAGCCAUGCAUGUCUAAGUAUAAGCAAUCUAUACAGUGAAACUGCGAAUGGCUCAUUAAAUCAGUUAUCGUUUAUUUGAUAGCACCUUUACUACUUGGAUAACCGUGGUAAUUCUAGAGCUAAUACUGCUAACAACCCCGACUGUUUGGAAGGGGUGUAUUUAUUAGAUAAAAAAUCAAUGCUCUUCUGAGCUCCUUGAUGAUUCAUAAUAACUUUUCGAAUCGCAUGGCCUUGUGCUGGCGAUGGUUCAUUCAAAUUUCUGCCCUAUCAACUUUCGAUGGUAGGAUAGUGGCCUACCAUGGUAGCAACGGGUAACGGGGAAU
rnacentral:rRNA from 1 species